rnacentral:rRNA from 1 species
UACGAGGGGGGCAAGUGUUGUUCGGAAUCACUGGGCGUAAAGGGAGCGUAGGCGGAUGUUUAAGUUGGAUGUUUAAAACCGGGGCCUAACCUCGGAGCGGCAUCCAAAACUGGGCAUCUUGAAUAGGUCAGAGGCUGGUGGAAUUGGAGGUGUAGCGGUGGAAUGCGUAGAGAUCUCCAAGAACACCUAUUGCGAAGGCAGCCAGCUGGGACCAUAUUGACGCUGGAGGCUCGAAAGCAUGGGGAGCAAACAGGA